GGGGAUGUAGCUCAGCGGGAGAGCACCGCCUUUGCAAGGCGGGGGUCAGGGGUUCGAAUCCCCUCAUCUCCACCA
rnacentral:tRNA from 1 species